GACGAACGCUGGCGGCGUGCUUAACACAUGCAAGUCGAACGAAGUGGCGAACGGGUGAGUAACGCGUAAUCAACCUGCCCUUCAGAGGGGGACAACAGUUGGAAACGACUGCUCAUACCGCAUACUGAAGGAGGGGACUGCGUCUGAUUAGGUAGUUGGAGGGGUAACGGCCCACCAAGGCGAUGAUCAGUAGGCGGUCUGGGAGGAUGAACGGCCACAUUGGGACUGAGACACGGCCCAGACUCCUACGGGAGGCAGCAGUGGGGAAUCUUCCGCAAUGGACGAAAGUCUGACGGGGGAACGCCGCGUGAGUGAUGACGGGCUUCGGGUUGUAAAGCUCUGUUAAUCGGGACGCGGUACCGGAAUAGAAAGCCACGGCUAACUACGUGCCAGCCGCCGCGGUAAUUC
rnacentral:rRNA from 1 species